rnacentral:lncRNA from 1 species
AAGAGAUAUCAAUGUUGAUCUAGAAACAUGUGAUUUGAUACCAAUUAAGGUCCCUCUUCAAAUCAAAGAGAAUUUGCCAAAAACAAACUAAUAACACAUUUUUCUUUGGGUAGUUAAGACUACCUCUUUUUGUUGUUUUCAUUGAUUUAAAUAGAAAAGAUACAUGAAGCAAACUCCUACAAUACGUGAAAGGGAAAGUGGAUCACUCUACUCCUACAUAACAGGAAGUGGAGUCGUGAUCUUUUUAUUUGCAUAAACAUAGGAAAUAACUUGAAGACUAAGUCAUAAUACUCUGUCCUUGAACUUUGGUUUAGCGUAGUCUCAUCAAUACUCCGGCCGUCGGAAAGAACCUUGUCCUCAAGGUUCGUGUCGAAUAGGGGAAAACUUGACUUGAAUUGCUUCUUGUCCUUUCAUAUCAAAAACGAUUUGUUCCAAAGAGGUACAUAGACAAUACCUUCACAAGGCUUGUUGGAGAGGUACGAUGGUCUAGGGGAAGCAUCACUACCAAUGGAAUUAAUCUCUAGAUCUGAAAGAGGAGACUUGAAAUCCCAAGCUUGGGUAAGUGUUCCGAGAGAGACGCUAUGGAAGUCGCUAGAGAACGAGGCUAAAAGCCAAAGACGAUGAACAAGGACGAAGAACGAGUCUGGAGGAUCUGGUGGUUCAGGUGAGAUGAUGGAAGUGAGAGUUUCAAACGCUACCAAAAGAAGCUUAGAUGGUGGGGGAUCAGGAGGAGGUCGGCACCGCGACGGAGGAGGAGCCUUCACCAUCAACAUCAUGGAGGAGGAUGAUAGGUCCCUUGCCAAGAGAUAUCAAUGUUGAUCUAGAAACAUGUGAUUUGAUACCAAUUAAGGUCCCUCUUCAAAUCAAAGAGAAUUUGCCAAAAACAAACUAAUAACACAUUUUUCUUUGGGUAGUUAAGACUACCUCUUUUUGUUGUUUUCAUUGAUUUAAAUAGAAAAGAUACAUGAAGCAAACUCCUACAAUACGUGAAAGGGAAAGUGGAUCACUCUACUCCUACAUAACAGGAAGUGGAGUCGUGAUCUUUUUAUUUGCAUAAACAUAGGAAAUAACUUGAAGACUAAGUCAUAAUACUCUGUCCUUGAACUUUGGUUUAGCGUAGUCUCAUCAAUACUCCGGCCGUCGGAAAGAACCUUGUCCUCAAGGUUCGUGUCGAAUAGGGGAAAACUUGACUUGAAUUGCUUCUUGUCCUUUCAUAUUGUUUCCUCGAGUCGUAGAUGUUUUUCAACGAGCUAUACAUCCACCAAUACCAAUACCAAAUUGUUUCCAUGGCUUAUUAUUGGAAAUAAACUUCUUCUUUUUUUUUAAAUGACAAAGAAAUAUGAUUUUUUUUUUUUUUGAAACCUGACAAACAAUGGAAGAAUUACAGAUUUUAAUCCAUAACAAAUGAAAGGAUGUUGAACUUGAUCAACAAACCCGAAAAGAAGAAAAUGGUAAAAAGAAAAAAUCGCUGGAUAGAUCUCGAUGAUCGUUGAUUCUGAGAAUGGCCGUUCGUCGAGGAUUCUUGAUAACCGUUGAUUCAUGAAGAAUACCGAUAACAAGGAAGAUGAAAAAUAUAAAGUUUUUGAUACCACAAAGUGGUCCGGAUCAAAAACAAAACAUGCUCUGAUACCACUGAUAGGUCCCUUGCCAAGAGAUAUCAAUGUUGAUCUAGAAACAUGUGAUUUGAUACCAAUUAAGGUCCCUCUUCAAAUCAAAGAGAAUUUGCCAAAAACAAACUAAUAACACAUUUUUCUUUGGGUAGUUAAGACUACCUCUUUUUGUUGUUUUCAUUGAUUUAAAUAGAAAAGAUACAUGAAGCAAACUCCUACAAUACGUGAAAGGGAAAGUGGAUCACUCUACUCCUACAUAACAGGAAGUGGAGUCGUGAUCUUUUUAUUUGCAUAAACAUAGGAAAUAACUUGAAGACUAAGUCAUAAUACUCUGUCCUUGAACUUUGGUUUAGCGUAGUCUCAUCA